ACCGUAGUCUCUUCUGCCUUCCUGUUUUUCACAUUCUGCUUUUUCCUCAUGAUUUCCUAGAACAACACUACACAAAGGGUAGAAAUGUGUCCAGAUGGAGGGACCCCACUGUGCAGGCCCAGCCAGCACUCGAGGGGUGAGGAGAGCUGAUGUGUGGGUUGGGGAUCCGGUCUAACUGGACUCUUUCUCAGCGUGAGGGUUGCCGAGUUUUGGCACACCACCAUCCCUUGGCUCAGGUUACAGAAGGACACGGGCGAUUGUUCAGAGAACAUGACACGGCAUACUGGGCGGCAAUAUGGCGGACGGCUGGGCCCCCUCAUCAGCCGGCUCUCAGCACCUCCAUCAAGACUCAAAACCCAACAGAGUAUCAGAUUCACAGGCCCAUAUUUAAGCAAUCUGAGGUUCACGUGAUGAUUUGGGUAAGGGACUGGGGAAUUGAGCCAGGGAAUUGAAACUGACAUUUUGCUGGGGGAGAGACGGAGGAGUUGAGGAAAGACCACCUGGGUAACCUUUCAUAGAGCUGUCCUCUGGUGCCAAAACACCCUGGAAUAAUAUUCUCCCUCUUGCUCCAUUUCACAGUCUUGUACUAAGUGCUAAAACAGUGCCAAAACGUUUGUGAAUGUAUUACGUUUUAGUAGUUUGAUUAAAGGGAUAGUAC